UACAGAGGGGGCAAGCGUUGUUCGGAAUUACUGGGCGUAAAGAGCGCGCAGGCGGUCGAUCAAGUCGAGUGUGAAAGCCCCCGGCUCAACUGGGGAGGGUCAUUCGAUACUGAUCGACUCGAAGGCAGGAGAGGGUAGUGGAAUUCCCGGUGUAGUGGUGAAAUGCGUAGAUAUCGGGAGGAACACCAGUGGCGAAGGCGACUACCUGGCCUGUUCUUGACGCUGAGGCGCGAAAGCUAGGGGAGCAAACGGG
rnacentral:rRNA from 1 species